AAAACAUCGACCGCAUAGCUCGCAAACUCAAAGAAAGGAGAAACACAGUCAACCUUGUACCUCAGCAACCACUCGAAAUGGCUGAAGAACAGAAUCAACAAAAUGGCCCUGCCAACAUUGGUGCUGGAGAUGCACCACGUCAUCACCGUCAGAGGAAAGAAAUUGCACCUCCUGCUAUCCAGAAAAACAACUUCGAGAUUAAGAGUGGUCUCAUCUCGAUGAUUCAGGGGAACAAAUUCCAUGGUCUGCCAAUGGAGGAUCCACUCGACCACCUUGAUGAAUUCGAUAGGCUCUGCAACCUGACAAAGAUCAAUGGUGUCAGUGAAAACGGAUUCAAGCUCCGUUUGUUUCCAUUCUCCUUGGGCGACAAAGCACUCAUCUGGGAGAUGAAUCUGCCCCAUGACUCAAUCACCACCCGGGAUGAUUGCAAGAAGGCUUUUCUAUCAAAGUUCUUCUCCAAUGACAGAACUGCAAGACUCAGAAAUGAGAUUUCUGGUUUCUCACAGAAGAUUGGUGAAAGCUUCUGUGAAGCAUGGGAGCGUUUCAAGGAUUACACCAACCAAUGCCCUCAUCAUGGCUUUACUAAAGCCUCUCUACUCAGCACUCUCUACAGAGGAGUCCUACCACGCAUCAGAAUGCUUCUGGAUACCGCCAGCAAUGGGAAUUUCCAGAACAAGGAUGUUGAAGAAGGCUGGGAAUUGGUUGAUAACCUCGCUCAAUCAGAUGGCAAUUACAACGAGGACUGUGAUAGGACCGUCAGAGGAACAGCUGACUCUGAUGACAAACACAGGAAGGAGAUCAAAGCGCUGAAUGACAAGCUGGACAGGAUUCUUCUUAGCCAGCAGAAGCAUGUGGACUUCCUUGUUGAUGACGAGCAGUAUCAAGUCCAAGAUGGGGAGGGUAACCAGUUGGAAGAAGUCAGCUACAUCAACAACAACCAGGGUGGCUACAAAGGAUACAACAACUUCAAAACCAACAACCCCAACCUCUCAUACCGCAGCACCAACGUUGCUAAUCCUCAGGAUCAGGUGUAUCCUCCACAGCAACAACAAGGUCAGAACAAACCUUUUGUUCCCUACAACCAAGGUUUCGUUCCUAAGCAGCAAUUCCAGGGGAACUACCAGCAACCACCACCACCUGGGUUUGCACCUCAGCAAAACCAAGGUCCUGCUACUCCUGAUGCUGAAAUGAAACAGAUGGUCCAACAGCUGCUACAGGGACAAGCAUCUAGCUCAAUGGAAAUUGCUAAGAAAUUAUCUGAAUUGCACCAUAAGCUGGACUGCAGCUACAAUGACCUGAAUGCCAAAGUGGAGGCAUUGAAUACCAAAGUCAGAUACUUGGAAGGCCAAUCAGCAUCUACCUCUGCACCUAAAGUCACAGGACUUCCUGGGAAGUCAAUAUAGAAUCCAAAAGAGUAUGCAACCGCUCACGCCAUCACCAUCUGCCAUGAUCGAGAGUUGCCAACUCGACCUGUCCCUGAUUUCAUUACUAGGGACAGUGAUGUUCAAGAAGGGGAGGCUUUUACUCAGGUUGAAGUCUCUGUUGUUGAAUUCAACCACUCUGCUGGUUCUCGCCAUCUCAUUCAGUCCACCUCGGAAGAGAAGGCCGCCAUAAUCGAGAGAAUGGUAAAACGAUUCAAACCUACUCCACUACCCUCACGUGCUCUCCCGUGGACAUUCAGGAAAUCGUGGAUGGAGAGAUACAAGUCUGUUGCAGCGAAGCAGCCAGACGAGAUUGAAGCAGUGAUGCCACUAAUGGAAGUUCUCAACCUGAUUCCUGAUCCUCACAAAGAUGUGAGAAAUUUGAUACUGGAAAGGAUCAAGAUGUAUCACGAUUCAGAUGAUGAAAGUGAUGCCACUCCAUCUCGAGCUGCUGAUAAGAGGAUUGUUCAAGAGAAGUUAGAAGAUCCGGGAUCUUUCUCUCUACCAUGUUCCAUUGGGGAAUUUGCUUUCAGCGAUUGUCUGUGCGAUCUCGGAGCCUUUGUCAGCUUGAUGCCAUGCUCUGUGGCAAGAAGGUUAGAGUUCAUUCAGUAUAAACCUUGUGACCUGACUUUGAUCCUUGCGGAUCGGUCUUCUAGAAAACCCUUCGGCAUGCUGAAAGACCUACCAGUCAUGAUUAAUGGAGUAGAAGUGCCUACAGACUUCGUGGUGCUGGAUAUGGAAGUAGAGCAUAAGGAUCCCUUAAUACUGGGAAGACCCUUCUUAGCUUCAGUGGGAGCAGUGAUAGAUGUCAGGGAAGGAAAAAUAGGUCUCAACCUUGGAAAGCACAUUAAGUUGCAGUUUGGCAUCAACAAAACUCCACAAGGGUCAACAGAAGAUGGAAAAACCUCUGGAAAUGAUAGAGUGAUCUCAGGAGAAGGAUAUGAGACUGAAAGAGUUAAAGAACUUAAAAAGAGGUCUGAUAAGCAAGAUGAAACUAUAGAGAAGCUAGCCCACACUGUUGAGGAACUUAGAAGUAAGCUGAAUCAGUUGCAGAAGGAAGCUCAACCUAAAGGCGGGAUCGACACUAUCCUGAGAAAGAAGUUCACUUCAAGAUGGUCUGAAGAGAUAGAUUACCCUCCAGAAGAGAAAGAAGCAUAUUUUGAAGAAAGGGGAAUUGAGUAUUCUGCUGCAGGCCUCUCCAGGGAGGACGCUGAGUAUGAUGAUGGUAUCAGAGAGGAUUAUGCAGACCCUCUCUACAGUUCAUUUUCUUCUUGAUAAGUGUGAGGAGUCAAGCUAGAGACUUAAAACAAGCUCACUUGGAAGGAAGUCCCAUGAUUAUCCUUGUAAAUAAUUUUUACUUUCUCGUUAUUUUUUAUUUGUUUUAGUUGUGUUUGUGGUCUCAGAAAAA
rnacentral:sRNA from 1 species